UACGGAAGGCAGCAGUGGGGAAUAUUGCACAAUGGGCGAAAGCCUGAUGCAGCUAUGCCGCGUGUAUGAAGAAGGCCUUAGGGUUGUAAAGUACUUUCAUCGGGGAGGAAAAAACAAAACUAAUAAUUUUAUUUCUUGACGUUACCCGAAAAAGAAGCACCGGCUAACUCCGUGCCAGCAGCCGCGGUAAUACGGAGGGUGCUAGCGUUAAUCAGAAUUACUGGGCGUAAAGAGCACGUAGGUGGUUUUUUUAAGUCAGAUGUGAAAUCCCUGGGCUUAACCUAGGAACUGCAUUUUGAAACUGAAAUACUAGAGUAUCGUAGAGGGAGGUAGAAUUCUAGGUGUAGCGGUGAAAUGCGUAGAUAUCUGGAGGAAUACCUGUGGCGAAAGUGGCCUCCUAAACGAAUACUGACACUGAGGUGCGAAAGCGUGGGGAGCAAAACAGGGAUUAGAUACC
rnacentral:rRNA from 1 species